GAUGAACGCUAGCUACAGGCUUAACACAUGCAAGUCGAGGGCCCGGCGCCCGGGUGAGUUACGCGUAUCCAACCUACCCAUUACUGCUGGAUAACCUGCCGAACGGCAGAAUACUACUGCAUAGUAAUGGAUGGGGAUGCGUCUGAUUAGCUUGUUGGCGGGGUAACGGCCCACCAAGGCGACGAUAAGUAGGGGUUCUGAGAGGAAGGUCCCCCACAGUGGAACUUAGACACGAUCCAAACUCCGACGGGAGGCAGCAGUUAGGAAGAUGGGGCAGUGGGCGCUAGCCUGAAACAGCCGAGUAGCGUGCAGGAUGACGGCCGUUGGGGUGUAAACUGCUUGUGUAGGGAGAUAGGUACCAUACGAAUAAGGACCGGCUAAUUCCGUGCCAGCCGCCGCGGUAAUUC
rnacentral:rRNA from 1 species